UACGUAGGGUGCAAGCGUUAAUCGGAAUUACUGGGCGUAAAGCGUGCGCAGGCGGUUUUGUAAGUCUGUCGUGAAAGCCCCGGGCUCAACCUGGGAAUUGCGAUGGAGACUGCAAGGCUUGAAUCUGGCAGAGGGGGGUAGAAUUCCGACGUGUAGCAGUGAAAUGCGUAGAGAUGAUGGAGGAACACCGAUGGCGAAGGCAGCCCCUGGGUCAAGAUUGACGCUCAUGCACGAAAGCGUGGGGAGCAAACAGG
rnacentral:rRNA from 1 species